rnacentral:rRNA from 1 species
UACGGAGGGUGCGAGCGUUGUCCGGAAUCAUUGGGCGUAAAGGGCGCGUAGGUGGCCCCUCAAGCGUGCGGUGAAAGUCAGGGGCUCAACCCCUGAUCGGCCGUGCGAACUGGGGAGCUUGAGCACUGUAGAGGCAGGCGGAAUUCCGGGUGUAGCGGUGGAAUGCGUAGAGAUCCGGAGGAAGACCGGUGGCGAAGGCGGCCUGCUGGGCAGUUACUGACACUGAGGCGCGACAGCGUGGGGAGCAAACAGG